rnacentral:lncRNA from 1 species
CAGUGAGUGGAGUAGUGAGUACUAUGCAUAUGAGAUAGAAUAUAAUCAUGGCUCGAGAUGAAAUCUCAAGAUCAAUAACAAGAUGAACAUGAACUCAACAUAGAGAAUAUGGAGUAAAUCAUCAAUAUCACCACAAUCACAAUCAACUCAUCUGGAGCACAUAUGGAAUAAUCAAGUAAACAUAUAUGCUACUCAUGAA